UACGUAGGGACCGAGCGUUGUCCGGAAUCAUUGGGCGUAAAGAGCGUGUAGGCGGCUAUUUAAGUCCUGCGUGAAAUCCUGCGGCUCAACCGCAGACGGUCGUGGGAAACUGGAUGGCUAGAGUGCGGGAGAGGAGAGUGAAUUCCCGGUGUAGCGGUGAAAUGCGCAGAUAUCGGGAAGAACACCCGUGGCGAAGGCGGCUCUCUGGAACGCAACUGACGCUGAGACGCGAAAGCGUGGGGAGCAAACAGG
rnacentral:rRNA from 1 species